CCGUCGAUAAAGCUCAGUUGGCAGAGCGGUGGACUGUAGAUCCAUAGGUCGCUGGUUCGACUCCGGCUCGACGGA
rnacentral:tRNA from 1 species